rnacentral:lncRNA from 1 species
UGUUACCAAGUUUCCUUGGUUUGUCCGCCCAAAGCGUUGUCUUGAAGCAUUCUCAUAUUUCUAUUGGCAGAAUACUCCCAAACUGCUUCGAUUGACCUUUACUCGCCAUAUCUUUGAUUUGAGGCUGGGAAAAUUGUAAACAAGGUAAGAUUGAACUUCCUCGCAGCUUGAGCUUUAAAUUAAACGAUUUAUAAUUUUUGUUUCUGUCAUGUUUCAACAAAAACUCAUCCUUUCUAAGUUUGAGGAAUUCUAGAAUUCUAGUUGGUUUUGGUUUGAUUAUAAAGGAAAGAAUUUAAUUAUUUAGAUAUUGGAAUUGUGAUUUGAAAGAUAGGAAUUAUUAGCUAGAACAUGAAACUAGACUUCAAGAUUAGGGUUCGUUUGAUAACCAGAAUGAUAAAUUGCUGGAGAAAUUUUUUUUUUGUAAAAUAAUUUACUUUUAUUGAAUAAAUUGUCAAAAAUUAGGUUAAAUAUUCCGAAUUAUAUUAAGAAAGUUAAUUUAGUCUAUAUCUUUUAAUUACAUUUAAAUAAAUUUUUAAAUUUUUAUUUUGCAUCAAAUAAGUCAUUUUCAUUAAUCAUUAAUUAACUUAUGAUAGUCAACGGUAUAAUCAGUAAUUUUUUAUGUCACAUCAUUUUUCAUGUGAUAUGUUAAUAUGUUAUCUUGAUUACGUUAAUGUCACGUGAUAUAAAAAAUUACUGAUUAAAAAAUAUAUUUUUAUUUUUUUACCCAUUCAAAUGUUCAAAAAUUACUAAUUAAAAAUUUAAAACAAAAAAUUAAAAAAAAAUUAAUUAUUUCAAACUGAUUACUAUAAUUUCUUAAUUGAUUACUAUCUUCUUCUUUUUUAAAAAAAAAUUUUCAUCUUCUUAAUUGAAGUCAUUAUUUCUAAAAACAAAAACCUAAAUCUAAUUGCAUAAGUCAAUUAUGUACUCAAAUAGCCUAAACAAAUCAAUAUCCACAAACAAAUCUUCACUUUCUUGAACAUUCACUAAAUCUAACGUACUCAAAAUAUCUUCUCAUUGUUUGCAAUUCUUUUUCUUCUUUUAAAAAUCGUUCUUUGAGUAGUCUUUAAUUUUUAAAAAUUGUGAAAGAUGUGGAGAGAGAUUUUACUAUUAUUAGUGGUAAAUAAAUUUAACACCAUCAGAUUUCUCUUAUAAAUAUUAAGAAAGAGAAGAGAAAGAUUUGACUUUUUUUUUUAUUGUGGAACAACGCGAUAUGUCUUUGCUAGUUUUAAUAUUAUAAACGUUGUAUGUCUUACUUUUACUCUUCCUCUUUUAAAAAUCGUUUCUGGGUAUUCUUAUAUUUCUCUACAUCAAUUUUUAAUUGAAUUGGAAAAGUUAGAUUAAGUAUUUUUUUUAUUAAGAAAGAUGGCUUCAAUUAAGAAGCAUGGUAAUUAAUUUGCAGCAAUUAGUUUUUUUUUUUUUAAUUUUUUGUUUCAAAUCUCUAAUCAAUAAUUUUUGAACAUUUGGAUGGAUAAAAAAGAAAAAACAUAUUAUUAGUCAACAUUUUUUUAUGUCACAUAAUCUAUCACGUGGCAUUAACGUUAUUAAGAUGACACGUCAACAAACUAUGUAGAAGAUGAUAUGAUAUAAAAAAUUGUUAAGAGACUUUUUUGAUCUAAAAUAAAAGUUCAAAAGUUUAUUUGAAUGUAAUAAAAAGAUAUGGGCAAAAUUGAUUUUCUUAUUAUAGUUUGGGGGCUUUUUUGGGUAUUUAGUCAAUUGAUAAAUAGGAAUAGAUUACAAAACAAAUGUGACAUUUGAUUUUCAAGUUAAAAUUAAGAAUGAAAAUGAAAAUGAGAAAAAUUAAAAAUAAUAUUUUUCAAAGCAUUUAACCACAUAUAAUAAUGAAAGUAAGCUCUAAUUUUCAAAAAAAAAUUCAUCUCAUCAGUUUUUUUACCAUAACACUAUAAAAAUAUCAAUAUUCAUCAAUUAUGUAAAACAUCCAAAGCCUAUAUUCAUAAGUGUGUAUUCAUUAAAUGAUAAUCAUUGAAAUAUUUUUUGUUAUAAUUAUUUGUAAAAUAUAUUCAAUUUUUAAAUAAAAAAUAUUAAUUGCAUUGAAUGAUUUCAUUAAUUUUUUUUUAAUUUUAAUAGUAUUGAAUAAUUUAAAUAGUAAUAUUUUAAGUUAAAAUUUUUUGAAGUUAAAUAUUAAUAUUUUUUAUUUUUUCAUAUUUUAAGUUAAAUAUUAAUAUUCAUCAAACUUGUUAUGCAAAACUUAGUAUAAGAGUAGUUUUUCUGUUCUUCAAAAAAUAUCUUAUACCUCUCAAGAGUGUAAGACAUUUUACAUGGUUAAUAAGUAUUUUUCCUUAUUGACCCAUAAACGUUUUAUAUUUGGAACAAAUUUUUCAUCUUCCAAACAAAUAUAAGUUUUGAAAACAUUUUCAGAAAAAAAUUUUAUGUCAAAUCAAACAAACUCUUAGUUAGUUAAUUCUGGAAACUUAAAUGCAAAGGAAUUAAGGAAAGUGUGUAUAUUUAUAAGUGCUCAUGGGACGCUAGGAAGCUCAAUGAAUUAUUGGAGGAUUGAUAGUUGGAGGAAAAAUCACAAUGUCACUAGGAGGGGAUGUGCAUUUAAAUGUUUUAGAAAAUGCGCGAAAAGUUUUAAGUGUGCUCUGCUCAAAUGUUUUUGAAAUGUGCAUGGGAACAAGCUUUGUGUAUUGCUACACUGUGAUGCUAUGUGAACAAUUGAAUCACUAUAUACAUAUUGAUAUGAACUGUUAUUAUUGUACAUUGGAAGGCAUGGUAGUUGAGUUACGUGUCAUAUGGAUAUAUAGAUAUUAAUUGUUAUCAUUAUGAACUGUGGGGCAUGGUAGUUGAGCUUCGUGUCAUGUAAAUAUAUAGAUAUAAAUUGUUAUUGCCAUGUGGUUGCCAUGUGGUUUUGUGUGUGUAUGUGAAUUGCGAUCCUUCUUUAGUCAUUGUUAUAAUGGUGAUUGAUAACUGUUAACGUAUGUUGAGAUAUGGAUUGCGUGCCUUAGAUGGGCUGUUGAAUAGCAUGAUGAAAUAUGUGUCAUGCCUAGUAAAGUAAUAAAGAAUUACUGAUUUUUAUAUUGGCAUUGUUAUGAACAUGUAAUAUGGGCUUCAGAUUAAUGAUAUGCUGUUUAUUGUGGACAUUUAUGCAUAAUGCAUAGCAUAGUCGUAGUAGGGCAAAAAUACCAUUGGUAUGUGAGGCGAAGUACUCUAUUGAGCAUUUCCGAGUGGGGUAGAAAUACUAUUGAUUGUGCACUGCCAAGUAGGGCAGAAAUACUACUUUUUGAGCACCACCAGGUGGGGUAGAAAUGCCACUGAUCCUGCAGAUGUUUAAUGGGGGAAAAAUACCACUAUUGAGCACCGCCAAAUGGGGUGGAAAUAUCACUGAUCAUGCAAUGCCGAGUGGGGCAGAAUACCACUGUUGAGCAUCACCGAAUGGGGCAAAAGUACCAUUAAUUGUGCAUGCAUAUUUACAUUUGUUAAAUUGUGAAUAAUGAGAAAACAUGCAAGGCAUUGAUGGUAGGAAUUAAUAUGUUAUGUUUUUUUGUGGGAAUUGUACACUUUAAACCAAAAAAAUAUGGAUGUAAGAGCAUGGUCCUAGGCUGAAGGUGCCUAGUUUGGGUAUAAGGGAGGCUCUCAUGAGUUGGGAUGCUUGGCAUUGCAAAUUGGGUAAAGUAUGGAGACCUACUUUAAGAGUCUCUAUACUUUUGUUAUGUUUUGCUGGAAAUUGCUUGUUUCUUAUUUGUAUUCCCUAUAAGGGGCACGUGGUAAGUUGUUGGAAUUGGUGGUAAGGUUUUACGUGAAAUCGUGAUAAAUGUACUAAAGGUUUUAUCUAGGCAAAGCUCAUGUGCAUUACGGGUUUUUAUUAGGCAAACAUGCAUGAUUUCUGAAAUGAAUGUGCAUCGUUUAUAAACUAUUUCUCCCUAUUUAAUGCUUGUUCCUUUUGUUAUCCUUCACUGAGCUAUAGUACUCGUUAUUUUAACUUGCAUGUUUUUAGAACGAGACCUAGACGGGUCAUAGAUUCUCGAGAGGAUCCUCAAGUGCACUUUUGGUAGUUCGAGACAUUUGGCAUUCGGUAGUACUUCCACACCUAAUAGUCACUUUGUUGGUAGUUGGAUGUUGGGCUAUCUUGUUGAUUGGUCAUUGGACUUUGUAGGCUAUAUAUGUACAUAUGUAUGUGGGUUUUUUAGACAUGUAUGUAAGCCUAGUAUAAGAUAACACGGCUAUGAGCUGGCAAACGUAAUGUAGCUUUUGUUUAUGCCAAGAAUGAGUGUACAACAGAUGUUAUAGCAAAUGGUUGUGCCUAAUGUAAAUAUCUUGUGUUUAAAUCCAAAAGAUGGAUGUGAAAUGUUUUUCUAAGAUUGAUUGAUUGCCUUUUUACGGGUAAUCUGUAACUUUAUAUUAAAACUCUCUCCUAAGGACUUCAAUUGGGUGCCAUCUGAAUUUGUCAAUUGCACGACACGUGACGUACAACUGGAGUGGCUGUAUUUAUUUUCAUUUCACGUGGAUCUUCAUCAGGUAAAUCUUGGCCUGCCCGAGCAAUUGGUCCAAUCCAUGGGCUGCUUUCGAGCAAAAUUUGUUGGCUAGCGAGGCCUACUGUUUGGCUCAAUACUGAUGAUUCUCAAUUGCUUUCCAUGUCAGAGAUUUUUCCAUGAUUUGGUCGGUGUUUUUACCAUGUUCAAGGUCUAUUCUGCCUUUUGAUUGUAAAUAUGCUUUUAUUUGGAGGGUAUUUUAAACCAUUUGUUUAGUUCAAUUAUUUUUAUGGUCUUUUCAACUCAACUCAUAAUUUAUAGAGUUCUAUAUCAUUUUUUUGUUUUCCGUUUCUUUUCCAUAUUAUUUGUUUAACUUCCUCAUCCGUUGUUUCAUUCCAUUUUGGUCUUUUUCUUUCUCUUCUUUACUUUGGUUCAUUUUUUUUUCACCUCUUUUGACUCUUUUUUCCUUUUGUUCCUCUUAGUUUCAUUUCGGUUUUUUUUUUUUCCAUUCCUUUGCAUGUUCUGCUUCUACAUCUUUUUUUUUUUUAAUAGUUGUUUAGUUCAACAUUUGGCCAUUUGUGGUUUUUUAUUCUUUCUUUUAUUUCUUCUUUGAUUUUUAGCUAUUUCCAUUAUGAAAUGCUGAAUGAUUUUUAAAAAAUUUUGAUCCUCGGUUUUUGUAAAAUUUUUUUAAAAUUAAUUUUAAAAUUUAUGUAACAAAUAAUUUUGCUAUAUUUUUUUAAUCAUUCGAUGAAUGGAGUUUUUCGUAGGUGUUUAAUAUUUUGGAUGGUUAUGUUUAAUUAAGAAUUAUAGAUUCCAAGUUUAUGCAACUUCUCUUUAAGUAUGAAAAUGGUAUUAUUUUUCUCUUAAAAUUUGACAUGAUUCCUAAAGUCUUAUCUUAAUUCUGAUAUUGGAAUUGAAUAAUAUGUGGAUUUAUGAGUUAUGGUUGAUGGAUAAUAAAAUCUUUUCUGGUUAUGUGCGCUUAUAUUAUCAUUUUCAUUUGAGAAUUAAUUGAUAAUUAUGAUCCUUGUGGUUCUAUGGACUUCGGUAUUUUAUGUUUUAUUAUAAUUCUUGAUUCUUCAUCAUAGUAUUAAGUUUGUUUAGAAGGUAGAGCUUCCAUAAAUUCUUGGUUUAGGUAUUCACCUUGAUGCUCCCGGCUUUCAACUGAAUUUGCUAAAGAAAAAAUGAUUUUAAUUUGCAUUAAAUUAAAUAUUUCUCAUAACUCCCCUGGAAGGUCUUUCUCAGGGCUUGAAUACCUUAGGAACAAUUAAAGUUAUGGCUACCUUUACCAACAUGGCUGAAAAACUAAUUUAUUUGUUAUGUUAACCAUUUGUUACCUGCCGGUGAGCAUAGCACAGGCCAUACUCUAGUGCUAUAUAAAAUGUGGUUGAAGCUUAUGUGGGCUGGGCGAGCUACUCCCGUCGGAUUCUCGUGCCGGUCAUGGCCCAGGGCGGGGUCGUGACAUAUGCAAACCAAACUUAAGGCGAAAAGGUGCAG